GACGAACGCUGGCGGCGUGCCUAAUACAUGCAAGUUGAGCGCUGAAGGUUGGUACUUGUACCAACUGGAUGAGCAGCGAACGGGUGAGUAACGCGUGGGGAAUCUGCCUUUGAGCGGGGGACAACAUUUGGAAACGAAUGCUAAUACCGCAUAAAAACUUUAAACACAAGUUUUAAGUUUGAAAGAUGCAAUUGCAUCACUCAAAGAUGAUCCCGCGUUGUAUUAGCUAGUUGGUGAGGUAAAGGCUCACCAAGGCGAUGAUACAUAGCCGACCUGAGAGGGUGAUCGGCCACAUUGGGACUGAGACACGGCCCAAACUCCUACGGGAGGCAGCAGUAGGGAAUCUUCGGCAAUGGACGAAAGUCUGACCGAGCAACGCCGCGUGAGGGAAGAAGGUUUUCGGAUCGGAAAACUCUGUUGGUAGAGAAGAACGUUGGUGAGAGUGGAAAGCUCAUCAAGUGACGGUAACUACCCAGAAAGGGACGGCUAACUACGUG
rnacentral:rRNA from 1 species